rnacentral:rRNA from 1 species
GGGUUGUGAGGUUAAGCGACUAAGCGUACACGGUGGAUGCCCUGGCAGUCAGAGGCGAUGAAGGACGUGCUAAUCUGCGAAAAGCGUCGGUAAGGUGAUAUGAACCGUUACAGCCGGCGAUGUCCGAAUGGGGAAACCCAGUGCAAUUCGUUGCACUAUCGUUAACUGAAUACAUAGGUUAACGAGGCGAACCGGGGGAACUGAAACAUCUAAGUACCCCGAGGAAAAGAAAUCAACCGAGAUUCCCCCAGUAGCGGCGAGCGAACGGGGAGCAGCCCAGAGUCUGAAUCAGCUUGUGUGUUAGUGGAACGGUCUGGAAAGUCCGACGGUACAGGGUGAUAGUCCCGUACACCAAAAUGCACAGGCUGUGAACUCGAAGAGUAGGGCGGGACACGUGGUAUCCUGUCUGAAUAUGGGGGGACCAUCCUCCAAGGCUAAAUACUCCUGACUGACCGAUAGUGAACCAGUACCGUGAGGGAAAGGCGAAAAGAACCCCGGCGAGGGGAGUGAAAAAGAACCUGAAACCGUGUACGUACAAGCAGUGGGAGCACCUUUAUGGUGUGACUGCGUACCUUUUGUAUAAUGGGUCAGCGACUUAUAUUCUGUAGCAAGGUUAACCGUAUAGGGGAGCCGCAGGGAAACCGAGUCUUAACUGGGCGUUAAGUUGCAGGGUAUAGACCCGAAACCCGGUGAUCUAGCCAUGGGCAGGUUGAAGGUUGGGUAACACUAACUGGAGGACCGAACCGACUAAUGUUGAAAAAUUAGCGGAUGACUUGUGGCUGGGGGUGAAAGGCCAAUCAAACCGGGAGAUAGCUGGUUCUCCCCGAAAGCUAUUUAGGUAGCGCCUCGUGAAUUCAUCUUCGGGGGUAGAGCACUGUUUCGGCUAGGGGGUCAUCCCGACUUACCAACCCGAUGCAAACUACGAAUACCGAAGAAUGUUAUCACGGGAGACACACGGCGGGUGCUAACGUCCGUCGUGAAGAGGGAAACAACCCAGACCGCCAGCUAAGGUCCCAAAGUCACAGUUAAGUGGGAAACGAUGUGGGAAGGCACAGACAGCCAGGAUGUUGGCUUAGAAGCAGCCAUCAUUUAAAGAAAGCGUAAUAGCUCACUGGUCGAGUCGGCCUGCGCGGAAGAUGUAACGGGGCUAAACUGUGCACCGAAGCUGCGGCAGCGACACUAUGUGUUGUUGGGUAGGGGAGCGUUCUGUAAGCCUGCGAAGGUGGCCUGUGAGGGUUGCUGGAGGUAUCAGAAGUGCGAAUGCUGACAUAAGUAACGAUAAUGCGGGUGAAAAGCCCGCACGCCGGAAGACCAAGGGUUCCUGUCCAACGUUAAUCGGGGCAGGGUGAGUCGACCCCUAAGGCGAGGCCGAAAGGCGUAGUCGAUGGGAAACAGGUUAAUAUUCCUGUACUUGGUGUUACUGCGAAGGGGGGACGGAGAAGGCUAUGUUAGCCGGGCGACGGUUGUCCCGGUUUAAGCAUGUAGGCGGAGGUUCCAGGUAAAUCCGGUACCUUUUAACGCUGAGGUGUGAUGACGAGGCACUACGGUGCUGAAGUAACAAAUGCCCUGCUUCCAGGAAAAGCCUCUAAGCAUCAGGUAACAUUGAAUCGUACCCCAAACCGACACAGGUGGUCAGGUAGAGAAUACCAAGGCGCUUGAGAGAACUCGGGUGAAGGAACUAGGCAAAAUGGUGCCGUAACUUCGGGAGAAGGCACGCUGAUAUGUAGGUGAAGCCCCUGCGGGUGGAGCUGAAAUCAGUCGAAGAUACCAGCUGGCUGCAACUGUUUAUUAAAAACACAGCACUGUGCAAACACGAAAGUGGACGUAUACGGUGUGACGCCUGCCCGGUGCCGGAAGGUUAAUUGAUGGGGUUAUCCGUAAGGAGAAGCUCUUGAUCGAAGCCCCGGUAAACGGCGGCCGUAACUAUAACGGUCCUAAGGUAGCGAAAUUCCUUGUCGGGUAAGUUCCGACCUGCACGAAUGGCGUAAUGAUGGCCAGGCUGUCUCCACCCGAGACUCAGUGAAAUUGAACUCGCUGUGAAGAUGCAGUGUACCCGCGGCAAGACGGAAAGACCCCGUGAACCUUUACUAUAGCUUGACACUGAACAUUGAGCCUUGAUGUGUAGGAUAGGUGGGAGGCUUUGAAGCGUGGACGCCAGUCUGCGUGGAGCCAACCUUGAAAUACCACCCUUUAAUGUUUGAUGUUCUAACGUUGGCCCCUAAUCGGGGUUGCGGACAGUGUCUGGUGGGUAGUUUGACUGGGGCGGUCUCCUCCCAAAGAGUAACGGAGGAGCACGAAGGUUAGCUAAUCCUGGUCGGACAUCAGGAGGUUAGUGCAAUGGCAUAAGCUAGCUUGACUGCGAGCGUGACGGCGCGAGCAGGUGCGAAAGCAGGUCAUAGUGAUCCGGUGGUUCUGAAUGGAAGGGCCAUCGCUCAACGGAUAAAAGGUACUCCGGGGAUAACAGGCUGAUACCGCCCAAGAGUUCAUAUCGACGGCGGUGUUUGGCACCUCGAUGUCGGCUCAUCACAUCCUGGGGCUGAAGUAGGUCCCAAGGGUAUGGCUGUUCGCCAUUUAAAGUGGUACGCGAGCUGGGUUUAGAACGUCGUGAGACAGUUCGGUCCCUAUCUGCCGUGGGCGCUGGAGAAUUGAGGGGGGCUGCUCCUAGUACGAGAGGACCGGAGUGGACGCAUCACUGGUGUUCGGGUUGUCAUGCCAAUGGCAUUGCCCGGUAGCUAAAUGCGGAAGAGAUAAGUGCUGAAAGCAUCUAAGCACGAAACUUGCCCCGAGAUGAGUUCUCCCUGAGACUUUAAGUCUCCUGAAGGAACGUUAAAGACGAUGACGUUGAUAGGUCGGGUGUGUAAGCGUAGCGAUACGUUGAGCUAACCGAUACUAAUGAACCGUGAGGCUUAACCUUACAACGCCGAAGGUGUUU